CGAUGAAGCGGGAGGUUGCUGCCCGAUACGAGGCAGGUUUUUCCGUGGAGAAUGUCCGGCUCAUGAAGCCGGGCGGC
rnacentral:ncRNA from 1 species